CUACGGAACUCCUACGGGAGGCAGCAGUGGGGAAUUUUGGACAAUGGGGGAAACCCUGAUGCAGCGACGCAGCGUGCGGGAUGACGGCCUUCGGGUUGUAAACCGCUUUCAGCAGGGAAGAAGCCCUUCGGGGUGACGGUACCUGCAGAAGAAGUACCGGCUAGCUACGUGCCAGCAGCCGCGGUAAUACGUAGGGUACAAGCGUUGUCCGGAAUUAUUGGGCGUAAAGAGCUCGUAGGUGGUUGGUCACGUCUGCUGUGGAAACGCAACGCUUAACGUUGCGCGUGCAGUGGGUACGGGCUGACUAGAGUGCAGUAGGGGAGUCUGGAAUUCCUGGUGUAGCGGUGAAAUGCGCAGAUAUCAGGAGGAACACCGGUGGCGAAGGCGGGACUCUGGGCUGUAACUGACACUGAGGAGCGAAAGCAUGGGGAGCGAACAGGAUUAGAUACCCGUGUAGUCCUCUUCGA
rnacentral:rRNA from 1 species